AAGCAACACUCUGUGUCAGAUGAUCGAAGUUGUCUGAUACAAUUUGAGCUUGCUAUAGCAAGAAAGUCUAACCUAUUCCAGUGGUCUCUUCCAUGAGACCGACUGUUAUAUAGACUUAAACAGC
rnacentral:snoRNA from 1 species